GUUUAUUUGUUUUGUUUUUUGUUUGUUUGUUUUGUCUUUGCUUUACUUUUGCUUCAUAUGUUGUUUAUUUAAUUUAAAACUAAAAGAAAAUGAAAUCAAUGAGAGGUAAAACUUGAGGGGGAAGGGACUAAUAAGUGUAUAAUUCUGCCUACUCCUUUUCAAACAAAAGAAUGGAGUGAUAUUUUGUAAUGAUUGUGAAUGCACAUGUUUGAAAUAAAAAUGGACUGAACUGUUCUAAACCCAUCUUAAAACAUAUUUUUUUCUCUUUGGCUUUCUCUCUGGGGAGGGAUAGCUCAGUAGGUAGGUGGUGUAGUGGCCCCAUGAUCGGAAGGUUGGGGGUUCGAAUCCACUGAAUGGCUACCCUGAGGCACCCCUGAGCAAGGACUAAAAUCUUCCAUGUUUGACGACUGAACUGAAGUCAGUCCAGAGGCAACACGCCAACAUCUGUAAGCCGAUCUCACACCAACGCCGGCCUGAAUGUUGUUACCUGUGGGAUCGUACAUCUACUCUUGUUCCUGCAGCAAAUUCUCUGCAAACGAGUAAUGAGCAGUGAAACAAGGCUCGGGACCAGCACUCCUGCUGUUGGACAGAAAGACAUCAACUUGAGAUAUGACUGCACUAUGCUGUUGCUGUGACUCCAGUUAAUUCUACAAGACAUGCUGUGACAACAGGAGAGAUGAGUCCUCCGUCACAGAUGGUGUGGUCAGUGAAGAUGGUCGCCUGCAGGUUUAAGCUCAUUGCAUCUCUAACCCACAUCCACUGCCACUGUACUGAAGGGAAGUUAAAGACUUUCUUCUGCACCUACAUUUGGAUCACCUCGAUCCAUGACAGUCAUUCAGGCAGUAAUGCCUGGACUGGAAACAAGCAUCCUUAAAAUAAUACAACAUUCCAGCUCAUGUGUUGAAAUGAAAAACAAAUGUGUUGUUUAAAUUAGAGACUGCACUUGUGACAGAACAAUAAAUAUUUUAUUUUGAUUAUAUAAGUAAUGUGUCAGGGUUUCUGGGUCGUUGACCCAGUGUUUUCAGUUAGUCCUCAUUCUUUAUCUUCUGCCUGUUUCACUUCCUGUUUUAUUGUGUUAACCUUGGUCCAUGUGCAUUAUGUUCAGUCCUCUUCCCAUUUAUCAUUAGUUCAUUAUGUUCAGCUGUGUACUCACCAGUUUCUAAUCGCUCCUCACUCAGCCUGUGUAUUUAUGUUCCUCAGUUCAACCAGUCCAGUGUCGUGUCAUUGAUGUUCUCGUGAUGUUAUGUCGUAUGUUCAGAUCAGUCAGCCAGCCAUUCAGUUCUUCAGUCAGUCGUCCACUCAGUCAGCCAUUUCAGUUCGGGUUCUGUUCAUCCAGCCUGCUUUCAAUAAACCCCAUUAUCCUGCACCGUGAGUCCAGCGUUUGGGUCAUCCUUUCCUCGCCUCCACACACGCUACCCCUGACAGAAUGACACGACCGCUUUUGACCCAGCGGACU
ensembl:lncRNA